rnacentral:rRNA from 1 species
AACGAACGCUGGCGGCAUGCCUAACACAUGCAAGUCGAACGAGACCUUCGGGUCUAGGGGCGCACGGGUGCGUAACGCGUGGGAACCUGCCCGUAGGUUCGGAAUAACUCCCCGAAAGGGGUGCUAAUACAGGAUAAUGUCUUCGGGCCAAAGAGUUAUCGCCUGUGGAUGGGGUCGCGUUGGAUUAGCUUGUUGGGAGGGUAAAAGCCUACCAAGGCGACGAUCGAUAGCUGGUCUGAGAGGAUGAUAAGCCACAGUGGGACGGAGACACGGCCCAGACUACUACGGGAGGGAGCAGGGGGGUAGAUAGCACAAUGGGCGGAAGCAUGAUGCAGCAACGCCGCGUGGGGGAUGACGGCAGUCGGGUUGUAUAGCGCUUUCGCCUGUGACGAAGCGUGAGUGACGGUACUGGGUAAAGAGGCACCGGCUAACUACGUG